rnacentral:rRNA from 1 species
UACAGAGGGGGCAAGCGUUGUUCGGAAUUACUGGGCGUAAAGGGCGCGUAGGCGCCUUCUAAGUCGAACGUGAAAUCCCCGGGCUCAACCCGGGAACUGCGUCCGAUACUGGAAGGCUUGAAUCCGGGAGAGGGAUGCAGAAUUCCAGGUGUAGCGGUGAAAUGCGUAGAUAUCUGGAGGAAUACCGGUGGCGAAGGCGGCAUCCUGGACCGGCAUUGACGCGUGAGUGAGCGAAAGCCAGGGGAGCAAAGCGGG